rnacentral:lncRNA from 1 species
AUAGUACUAAUUUAGCCAGCUGAUAUCCAAUGAGUUAAUUGCAGCUAAUAUGGAAAAAUAGGAAGAAAAAAGGAAUUUUUUAAUCCCCUAAUGAGGAAUAGUAUUUAGGAAGCCAUUAAAAACCCUGGGGAUUACUUUGCCCUUUCCAUUCUUAGUUUAUUAACAGAAAAGGAUGACUAGCAAUAACAACUGAAAUUGCAUACCAUUCAUGAUUAUGCCUUAAAUUCUCUGGGGAAAAAUGUACUACGUGGAUCUAUCAAUCUUUACAAUAUCAUCCAGGUAGAUUACUGAAUUUCACAGAAAGGGAAACUGAGGCUCAGAUAGCUUAAGUAACUUGCCCACAUUUACACAGGCAGUAAGAUAGCAUGUCUGGGAACUGAAUUAUUGUCUAUAUAAUGGCAAAGUUUACUACGCAUUCCAUCAAUCAUUAUGCUAUACUAUCUGAAGAACUAAAGGUUAGCCAAGGUUAUCAAUACAAUACCCAAUUUGCACUAGAGGAUGAAUUUCUAGAAGCAGAUGUGCUGACUGGCUCACUGAAUCCUCCAUUUAGGGGAUAUAUAUGUAUGCCGCUUAGCAACAAAUGCAAAAAUGCAAUGUACACCACAGUACAGUUCCCACAUACAUGAGUAUAUUUGAAGAUAUAUUAGCUAUCAUCUGUCUUCUUUCUCUACAGUCUCCCCAGACAAUACAUCGUGUAAUUUUUUUUUUUUUCUUAACUGGAAGUUCUAUUCUACCUUGCUAUGGUAGACUGGGACUUUCAUUUGUCCUGUAUUAUUGCUUACCUUUGGCUUGAGACAUACUAAACCCCAGUAAAAUGGGUAUAUUAACUCUUAGCACACACCCUUGGUUUCUCUGUAGCUGAUUCAGCAUUGUCACCUGCCAAACAUGAUGACUUAAAAUUGUUCACCAGAAUAGAAGAAAAAUGGCAGAAAGUGGAUCUGAAGCAGAAGAAAAAUACUGCUGAACAAUUUAACCUUUAAUCAGUGUUGCUGAAUAACUUCGAAUCAAGAAAGUGAGUAUUUACUAAACAAGCGUAUAUAUAUUAGAGAUUGAUAAAAUACAUAUCACUGUAUUUUCUUACACGAACAUUAAGAUUUAUGUUAAUAUA